rfam:Capsicum annuum cultivar Zunla-1 chromosome 9, whole genome shotgun sequence
UAGUCCGACAUUAUGAAACAACUUAAGAGGUAUUGUUUAAGUGGGAUCCGAAAGGAGAAAGUCAAAUACCACUAAUUUUAAUGUUUUUUUACUUAUUUCGUGAAUCGGAAGCAGGGCACUGCCCCUCUUUUUGGACCCAAGGCUCACUCUGCAGGAUGAUCUGGGCGAAAGACAACGGCUGCAGGC